rnacentral:rRNA from 1 species
CCUACGGGCGGCAGCAGUAGGGAAUAUUGCUCAAUGGGGGAAACCCUGAAGCAGCAACGCCGCGUGGGGGAUGAAGGUUUUCGGAUUGGAAGCUCCUUUUGUUAGAGAGGAUAAUGACGGUAUCUAACGAAUAAGCACGGGAUACCUCCGUGCCAGCAGCCGCGGUAAUACGGAGGGUGCAAGCGUUAAUCGGAAUCACUGGGCGUAAGGAGCGGGUAGGCGGGAUAGAAAGUCAGACGUGAAAUCCGAGGGCUUAACCAUAGAACUGCAUUUGAAACUGUUAGUCUAGAGUGUGGGAGAGGUAGGUGGAAUGCUUGGUGUAGGGGUAAAAUCCGUAGAGAUCAAGAGGAAUACUCAUUGCGAAGGCGACCUGCUAGAACAUAACUGACGCUGAUGCGCGAAAGCGUGGGGAGCAAACAGGAUUAGAUACCCUUGUAGUC